UUCUUGGCUGCAGGGUGAGGAGGAGAACGUGGUGAGCCUGGGAGCAGUCAGAAAGCCAGUGGGGCGACCAGGAUGUGCUUGGUCUGCAAGCCAGACCAUGGGGCCUCCAAUGGCCGCACCAGGCCAUGGACUGCCUUGCUGAUCAAGGGCAGAGGACAGGAGAGACACGCUUCUUCAUUCCACAGGCAUUUACUGAACACUGCGUGAAGACAGGUAACAUUCUGGCUCUGCCCUCUAAAAGCUCAAAUCCAGCAAGCAUGUCAAGAUUCAUCAUUUCCCCGUCACACUCCUGCUUCCCCUCCAAGUCUAGUUCCACGGACACUGCCUCCAGGAAGCCUUCCCUGAUACCCUACGGCCUUAGCUCCUUCAGCCAUUUCUCAGUCCCUUUGCCUGCCUGUCCCACUUUCCCCAGCUGGACCAGAAGUCGAAGUCCCUUCUGCAGGCACCAGGGAGUCUGUGAUCAUGAAUCCUCAUAUAGAUGAUUCCUUUGUGGCAAGAUGAAUGAGGGAGAGGAAAACAAAAGGCCGUGAGGAGGAGCAACAAGAAGUUAUAAUGUAUGAAGAAUCUGUAACCGACUCAGGCACAUGGCAGAUGCUGGAGAAGUGGCAGCCACUGCUGUUUUCAGGGUUCGCGUCUUAAUUAGAAGCUGAAGGAAUGGGGUUCUGUGCCCGCACAGGGAUGUAGCAGGCCGAAAGUUCACAGCUGAUAAUAGAGCUGAGAUGAGAAUGCAGCAGCCCUAGGCUUCUGAAUUGGUGGGGUCUCAUCUGCAUCAAAUCUGCAUUGAAGUCACUACAGAAGAAGCUCAGGGACUAUGUUAAAUUCAGCAAGAAUCCAGCUCAGGGUAGGUCUCAGUGGGGGACACUGAGCCAAACACAAGCACAGCCGCCCAGCCUCUGCUCCAUACCUGCAGCCCCAGGCUCGCCUUCCCCUGGGAAGCCACCCCCGUGGACCACCUUUAUUUAAAUCUACGCACAGACCCUCUGGAUGCUUCUGGAGCUGCAGGUCUGCUUCCCUCCUUUGGGUAGCCUGGCAGGGAUGUGGUGAGAGAGACUGGGUCCCUGAAUCUGUUCCAUGACUGUCCUUUUCAAUGGAAUCUUUGCAGUACAUGUGCGUUCUAAGAUGAGUUUUCUUCACACUUUGCUUAGAAGAAUGCCUUUGUGUGUGCAUAACUAAAAGAUACCUGAGGAAUCAGAGUACACCUUCAGAUGGGUAGACUGAGGCCCAGCAAGGGAAAGGGGCUGGCUCAGGGAAACACAGCAUGGUGGGGACAGGAACAGCUCUCCUGCCUCUCAGCCCAGGGCCCUGGAGCGGCCCUCCCUGUUUCCUGGCUGAGAGGUCAUUGUCAACGAGAGAUGCAAAAACCACCUAUUGGUAAGUCAUAGUCCAUAAUCAUCUGAAAGUAAGUACCAAUACGAACCACAGCACCUGGAGAACUUCCUGAUGCGGACACCAGAGGUUUUCCCUCCACAAGAAGCUCAGCAUCCAAAAAACACUCACUGGGUGCUUCCUCUGUGCCAGUCUUUGCCAGGUGUUUUUACCCAAGAAACCUCAUGACAAGGGGCCUACUGUGUACUCAUUUGACAUAUGAGGAAAUCCAGGCCCAGAGAUGUUAAGUGACAUGUCCAAGGUCACAUCUGGGGGAAGCAGGGUCACAAUCUGAACCCACAGUCAGAUGCCUGCCCCACCCCCACCAUGGCGCCCCAAACAAAUACUCAGCAGUAUCAGAUGUGGAAGAAAAUCCUCCUGGUAGGUGGGAAAGCCCUGUGGAAGCUUCAGUUUCACAUUCAAUGCUUCUAUUCUAGGUUCUGCACUGAGAACAGAAUCCGCCCAGCGCAGCCUGGGAGUUAAGAGCAAGUAGGCAAGUCUGGGAAGGAUGUGUGGUCAGAUAGUGCCCAAAACAGCAGGGCAGGCUUGAAGAAGAAGGUGAUGAAGGGGCUCUGUUGCUGGGCACAGGACAACCAGAUACCCUCCAAGAACCCUGCCCUUCCUGGCAUUUUGAAAGCCUAGGGGUGAGCUUGGCCUCCCUCCAUGUGCCAAGCCCUGGCAGGCACUGGGCAAGGAGGCCAGAGCAGCCAAAAACACCACCGCUGUCCCAAAGAGCUGCUUUGAGGUCAGCCCCGCAGGAAACGGAGAGUACCCUGUGCUGGUGGUUUCAGGAACAUUUGUUUGCUGGCUGGACCGGCAUGGACAUUUUCCACUCUGCCUGGCACCUUUCACCCAAUAUCCCAGUGACUCCUCACAGCUAUCUUGGUAGCUAUUGUCAAUCCCAUUGUACAGAAGAGGAAAUUAAGGCUUGGAGGUGAGGGUGUUAGGUGGCAGAAGGGUGAUUUCAACUCUGUGUGGCAGUUGCCGAAGCUUGAUCUCUUUCCACAGACCCUCAGCCUCCUCAGUGUUACUGGGCUAAGAACAGGACCCCAGAGAGGCUACUGAAAUACCUCUCAGGUCUCCUGGAAAGUGCCCAGUAGUGUGCAGCAGAAUAAAGCCGGGCCUGGGAUGGCACUUGCAGGGUGGGGCCUAGACUGAAGCGCCCUGGAGGCCCCAUCAGAAACCUGACCACAUGGAAGGAUCUGGAGUCAGAGUUGAGGCUGACUCCUGGCAAAGCCACCUCGGCAGGAUCCUGGGCAAGUGGGCAUGUGGCUUUCCCAUGCAGCUUUGUCACAAGGACAAAAGACUCUCCUGGGGGUCUUAGUGAACACCCAGUGUCGGUCCGUUCAGUGCAGUGAGCCCAGCAGUCCAUCGUGAAGAGGCCAUAUCAUUCCUGCCAUGAACGUGUCACGCUGCCGUUCUAACGGUCGUGCCGCCGUUCUAAGGCUGUCAGAGCAAGCCAUGCCAGAGCCCCACUCUGCAGGCCUUGGCUCUGGUUCCCAGGGUGACUCCCCAGCUGGGCUCAAGGCCAUGGCUCCCUGUUUCCAGGGAUUUAUGUCCCCCCAUGCCAGUCUAUCUCUUGGACAAUGCCCAUCUCUGUGAGUCCCUCAGCCCAGGAGUGAUACAUAGUCAACCAGGGUCUGCGACAUCAUAAUCUGGUGCCAUGACAACAGAUGGGCUGCCACAAAGCACUGGGGAUUCUAGGGGCAGUGAGGAGGGGCUGACCCGGGACAGAGUCAGGAAGAGUGGGAAAUCCAGGACAAAGGGAGUGGGAAAUGCUAUUUAUAACAAGAACACGGGCCAAGGGAAGCGCCAGACAGCCCAUGGUCUAUCAAACCGUGCCCUGCUACUUGUAGGCUGUGUGACCUUAUGCAAGUUACACAACUCCUCUGAGCCACACUUUCUGCGUCUGCACUCAAGGAUACCCUCCCUGCUUCACAAGACACACAGAGUCGUUGUGAGAAGCAAACAGGCUAAGGAUGGCCCCAGGGGUUUAUGAACUGAAAAGCAUAAAGGCACAAGUUGGAGGUGUGUGAAGUCACAGCCCUGGCCCCAGCUGCUGUGUGUGUGACACAGGAUCCUUCAGUCAAACCAUCUGAGCCGGCCUCCUUCUCAUCAGGAAAUGGAGGUGUGGCGCUGGGGCUCAAGACCCCCUCUGCUCUCAGAGUCUAUGAUCCUGUGAAAUUCUUAGAAUCACUCAGCACCUCCUGGCUUCCCCGCCUCCAGAAACAUCCCUCCCUGAGACAGUAUACAUGCGGUUCCGCACCCACAUGCAUCCUGGAACCCCGGUACAGAGAGGAGGCUUCAAAAUCCAGAUCAGUCCGGGCUGCCCGGGGGCGCCACUCCGUGCCGCUUCCUCAAAGCAAUCCCAAUGUCCUGCCGUGUUGGCCUCCAAGGUCCUGAGGCCUCUACACGGCUCUGCCUUGUUACACCCCUGGAAGCCAAGGCUUAGCGAGAAGUGACUGCUCAAGGUCAUAGCACGUGUCUAUGGGAGGGUUGCACUUGAACCCAGGUAAUGACUACAAUCCCACUUUGUGGCCAGCAGGCCAGGUGAGGGCCACCAGACCUGACCCAGAGGUCAGGGAAGGCUCCCUGGACGAGGACACCGUGUUCAAUCAAGAGGAGUCAGCCAAGCUAUGGGAGCAAAGAGAGCAGUGAGGCACAUUCCAGGAAGAGGGAUAACGGAGCUUGGGGCAUGGAGGAGCCAGCAGAGUGGCCAUUAGGGGCUGGGGGUGAGGCGAAUGUUAAGGGGCCUGGAGCUCCACCAGGCCAGGGACAACUUGCCCUGCCUGGGUGCCAAGCUGCCCCUCAGAAUCCAGGCACAUGGGACCUGGCUUUCCUGGAGCUUGCCCAAGGACCCAUCCAGCCUCUUGCUAAACACGCCUGCUCUCCAGCAGCCAAAAAAACCCCAGGGCUCCGGGCUGCCAGAGCCUCCUUUGCGAUUUCAGGAGGCCAGGCAAGACAAAAAUCAGCCCCUAGCAGAGGAGAAGAGGGGUAGGGGCAGCACAGAGCCCAGGGGUGGCCAUGCACCAAGAUAUUUGGGACAGACACUUAUUAUUUUCCCCCUUGGAGAUUCAUGACGCACACCAGUUUAUAAAGGCCCUGAGAAGGACUGCAGUAAAAAUAUCUGAUUGAGUGUUUCCUCCAGCCUUCCAAGUAUGUUUAACCAAGGGACUCCUUUUUCAGAUGCCACAUGUUUAUUUCCCAAGAAACAAGUGGUCCAGUGAACCACACCUGGGAAAACACUGCUAGGGCGCAAGCCUCUCGUCCUACAGAUGAUUAGAUGAGGUGCAGAGAAGGGAGGGGCGGGCCCGUUUCACACAUUAGCCGUCCGUCUCUGGGCCAUGAAAAAUAGGACAAGGUGUUCACAGAGCAUGGAGCCCGGAGUGAAGCUGCAGGGACCCCACUGGAGACCCCAAUCCUCAGAGCAGGGACAUGUCUAGAGAAGGUCCCAGGAAAGGAGAGAGAAUUGAUACCCAGCCACCAAGGACAGGAGAUGAGGGAGAUGUCAAGCCUUCCAGACUCUGACCGACCUCUGCUUUCUGUGGACAGGUCUUGGGCCCUAGGGCAUGUUCUUUGAGGGCAGAGCAGAGACCCCUAAGAAAGGUGGAUUCCAGCUCAACUUUGUUGCUCAGCAACCUGGGGCAGCUUCUUUCCCCUCCUAGGGCAGUUGAGAGGGGGAAAGCAAACAUAUAAAGUCCCAACCUUGGAGAGCUGGGUGCACAGAAGGGACUCGGCUGUUCCCACUUCCCUUCCCAGGCCUGGGCCAGUGCAAGGUGGCCUGGAUCUGGCCUUGCAGCCCAGCCCCAAGGCAGCUGGGCCACUUGUACCCAGGUUGGGGAGAUGAAAGGGCUGCUCCCCCAACAGUUACCCUUCGCCAGAGCUCGCCAGGCCCUGGCGUUGCCAAGACGACCACUUCCAGCAGAACGAAGAUCUGGGGUGGGGGUAGGGGGCGUGCCAGCCCUCCCAUGGACGACUAACCUGGCAGGCAGAUUUAAAUGACAGUCCAGGAAGCUACUAUUAAGCUGUCACCCCAGUCAACAGGACGACAGACCCGGAGUGUUCUCUGGCUGCAGCAACGACACAGCAGUAAUGAGAGGGGGAGGAGACCGUGGCCCAGAGCAACCUGCACCCCACCCGAAGCCCCCGGCCUGCCGGCCGUCCCACUGCCACAGCCACCCUCUCAGGCUGUGUCGGGUCCUGGCAUGGAGGUGGGGCUCAACACAGGGUCUGGCAAACUAUUUUUGGCAGAGGAAUCCUUUUCCCAAGUGAACCCCCAACAAAUUAAACAGAUUAAAAUGGAACCACAUGGUUGGAAGUGGGGGUGGGGGUCCAGAGCCCAUCACCAGCAGAUCUGGGGUCCAGCAGCACUGGAUUCAAAUCCUAACCCCUCCCUGGACGUGUGAUGUUGCUAAACCCUCAGUUUAAAGAUCCCAUGCAUCCAUUAUAAUGUUGCAAACAGCUGCCACACGGCUCUGCUGCUGACACUCUGGGGACCUAAGGUUCUAAGGCUGUCACACUCUGAUUUGCACCCGAAGUCCCUGUGACAAGACUCCACAACAGCUACUGCCAGAGUCCAAGAUGUCACUAAGCUGCGGAUGGCAGCCUCUGAUGCCUUCCCUUCGAGGAACUGUGUAUUUGAGUCCAGAUGUCCACAGGCGGACAGCGUCUGACUACUCAAGGUUUGGCGGUCCCCAGAAGGCAAACUGUUCCCACAGUGUCCUGACGGUAGGGUGCAGGGAGCCAGCACCCACGUGUGCUGGGCGGGGCUCAGCGCGUGGCUUUGUGCUGCCCAGCGGGCUCAGGGGCUCCAGCCUCCAUCAUCCAUCAGCAGGUGACAUCUGAAUUCGCCCUCUCCCCCACCCUCCAUCCCACCUGGGGAGUCUGAGAAGCUGCAGGUGCUGAGGACGGAGACACAUGAAGGGCUCAAGCGAAAGGAUUCACCCCAUUCAGAACGAAGGGGCUGCGGCGGAAGGAGGACUUUUUGGUCUCUCUAUUGGCCAGGCUGGAGUGCAGUAGGAUUUCAGUUCACUGCAGCCUCAACCUCACAGGCUCAAGCCAUCCUCCCACCCCAGCCUCCUAAGUUGCUGGGACUACAGGCGUGCACCACCACACCUGGCUAAUUGUGUGUGUGUGUGUGUGUUUGCAUAUUUUUGUUGUCGCAGAGACGGAGUUUCGUCAUGCCGCCCAGGUGGCCUAGGGCUGUACUAGAGCAGGUAAUCAUAUGGGAACAACCCAUAUGAUUACAGAUAAGUGACUUAACCUCUCAGAGCCUCAGCUUCCUCAUCAAUAAAAUGGGGCUAACCACCUCGGGGUGGGAAUGAAGAUAGGUGGCAAUGCUGAAAUUCAUGGUGAAUUGCACAGCUCCGCAAAAGCAGGUAGAGCUCUUGUCAAUCAUGCGGCUUAUUUCUUACCAUCGCCACUCCCUCACUGCCCCAGCUUUCCUGCAGGGACUUUAGGGAGAGCUGGGUUGCCUUCCUGUUGGAAUGGGAGAGGGCCAAGGGCAGACAGGCAAGGGGCAUGGCUCAGGUGGAAAAGCAUCUGGGUCCAGUGAGGUGCUGGGGAGUAGCCAGUCCACACAGCGUCUUGGGAGCUGCAGGCAGAGCACACCUGGAACCCAGGCCCCAAGGUCAUGCAGCCCAGCCCUGAGAUUUCAUACACAAGAAAAGGGGGCCACAGCAGCCUCGUGCUCCCAUGGCAACCUUAGCAAAGCAAUUCCACUCCUCCCAAGAUCCAGUCAGAACAGAAUACUGCUGCUGGAGAGACUCGAGGAAUCAUAAGACAGUCUUCGAAUCACGGAACAGAAUCGCCCCAUCUCAGAGAGGAUCUGAGAGUCAGAAAACACAAUUUACAAGGACUUAGGCUGAUUCCUCUGAAUGUUAGAGCCAAGGAGUCACAGAAUCUUUCCAGUUUAAAAUCACAAAUCUUAGACUGACAAACAGAAUAAAACCCUAGAAGCUUCUAAUCUAAUCCAGGAGCCAGAAGCAGCAAAGGUCUGCCCCUUCCCCAACCCCCACCAGUGCCAGCAUCCCCUGUUCCCACCGCUGACAUAUGGCCAUUCGCCCUCUUGAAUGCUCUCAGCGACAGGGGACUCAGUCAGCUGUGCUGGCUGGAGGCUGAACACGUUCCUUCCUCUUGAACAGGGAGGGAAAUAAGCUCUCAACAGGAGAUCCCCACUUUGUACAAAUGGAUUUUUCACCCCUCCUUGUUCUUUGGCUCUGGUCAGAAAGAUUCCCGGGGAAGUGGAAAGGAGCCAAGAGCUGCCACGAAAUGACUUUACCCAGCAGACAGGCUGGUGAUAGGUUUCGGUGGGAAACAGAAGGGAAAGGGCGAUGAAUUCCAACUUGCUGGGCGAUAAAGGAAAUUAAGGCAUAAUACCAAGGAGGCAGCAGUUCUAUUAACCUGGGUGGAAUACCAAUUACUCCGGCCUUCUCGAAAUUGCUCCAAGUGAAGAGAAAAUCCCCAAAGAGAGUGUAAUUGUGGCCCAGGGCUCAUCUGGAUUAGACUGUUUGUUUGCCCUGGCACCCUAAUGAUGGGAAUGAGGGAAAAUUCCCCGUUUCCUGGGAGACAGCCAUGCCAAAGUGGGGGAGGAAAGGCAGGCCCACGCGUAGCCACUGGACUGCCUGGCAAAUGCUCAGGGCAGAGGGGGUCCCCAGGCCCACUGCAGGAAGGCUCAGUGAGGGGCCACAGGCAGCCUCCCCUCGCCCAGCCCUGUCCAGGGCUCUCUGUCCCAUGUUCUGGGAUGGCCAAGCUUCUGCUGACUCCUGUGCUACCUGAGAAGUCUCAGGUUUCUGCUGAUGGAAACCAAAAUAACCCAGUAGCAGGCCUACUGUGUGUCAGGGACCCUGCCACAUGCUAGCAUGCCCUGCAGUUAGUAAGACCUUCGGAGGUGGCCAUGUGUCCAGGUGUUGGUUCUGGCAGAGCCAGGGCUCGGGGCUCUGGCUGGGACCACUCAUCAUCUGAGGCCAGCCACAGGGCGAGCAGUACGGGCAGAGUUCAUGGCCACAAGCCCCAGCUCAGUGCCUCCAGCCAGAGCUAGGCAGAAAGGGACAGACAGGACUGUGGGAGGGAAGAAGCGGAAAGCAGUGGGGUCAUGGGCUCAGCAAACCCUCACUGCCCACUGGCAUCCUGGCCAGACCUCAGCCAUACCACCCACUUCUCAGAGCCCCUUACAGAGGGGUGCCCAUCAGCCCAGGGCAUCUGAGCUGGCAUGGCUCCCCCAAUAAGACAGGUCUCUGGUCUCACUACAGCUUGGAUGAAGAGGAAGCCAUCUUUUUUUUAAACAGAGUUUCAUUUUUGUUGCCCGCACUGGAGUGCAAUGGUGCGAUCUCGGCUCACUGCAACCUCCGCCUCCCGGGUUCAAGCAA